rnacentral:lncRNA from 1 species
CCCCACCCACCCCCUCUCUGUUCUGUCUCUUCAAUAAAACUUGUUUGCUUGCCUCCUUGUUUCUUGCCUCUGUAAUCUUCAACACCUGGGGAACAAGGACCUGCUCCUAGACUUUCAAGACCGGUGUCAAGAGGAUGGAUAGAGCCAGCUGGCGAAAUUCUCCACAUGACAGUGAAGCCCCCAUUGGAUACUUGCCAAGUGCUAGGGCUUCAAGGCCCAGAAGACGGUGAGGUUAUUUCUCUCUGGUGAAAGUUUUACAAGAAAUAAAAAUAAAUGUUAUUCAGUAAUGAAGUGAGCUACCAAGUCAUGAAAAUACAUGGAGGAAACUUAAACACAUAUUAGUAAGUGAAGGGAGUCACCCUGAAGAGGCUGCCUACUCGACCAUAGGAGGCAAAAGAUAUGGAGACAGUAAAAGAUCAAGAGGGCUGGGGCUGUGGCUCAGUGGUAGAGCGCUCGCCUAGCACGUGCAAGGCCCUGGGUUCUAUCCUCAGCACCGCAUAAAAAUAAAUAAAUAAAAUAAAGAUAUUGUGUUCAACUACAACUAAAAAUAUUAAAAAAAAAAAAAAGAUCAUGAGUUGCCAGGGGUUGAGGGGAAGGUGGGAUUGGUAGACAGGUGGAGCAUACAGGAUUUUUACCAAAGUGAAACUCCUCUGUAGAACACUGUAAUGUGAAUCCAUGCCACUAGAUAUUCAUCAAGACUCAUAGAAUAUAUAAUACAGAGUGAACCCAAAUGUACACUAUGGACUUCUUUAGUUCAUAAUAAUGAAUCGAUAUUGAUGAAUCCAUUGGAACAAAUACAGCAUCCUCAUGCAAGAUGUUAACAAUAGGGGAACAUGACAGGGUAGUGGAGAAGCCGUAAAGGGGUAUAAGAACAAGAGUUUGGGGCUGAAGUUGUGGCUCAUUGGUAGAGCACUUGCCUGGCCCAUGUGAGGCCCUGGGUUCAAUUCUCAGCACCACAUGUAAAUAAACAAAAUAAAAUCCUUGACAACUAAAAAAAAAAAAAAUUAAAAAAAAAGAACAAGAGUUUUCUUUAAGCCUAAAACUGCUUUAAAAAAUAAAGUACACUAGAAAAUGGAAAGCAUUUUAUUGAGGUUUCUAAGGAAAAUGCCCUUUUUUCUUUUACAUGUCACUGUGUAAAUGCAGCCGCAGCCUUCUUUACAAUAGUCCAAAGUGGAGACGACCCAAGCAUCUGUCAACUGAUAAAAGGAUGAACAAACUGUGGUCUAUUCACAUAGUGGAAUAUCAUUCCACUGUCAAGGAAUGAAUGAGUACUGAUCCAUGCUACAUGGAUGCAUGGUAGAACCUUGAAAACAUCACACUAAGUGGAAGAAGUCAGACGUGAAAGAACACAUACAUGUUUGAUGUGAAAAGCCAAAACAGGUGGGUUGGUAGAGACAGAGUUGAUGAAUGCUUUCUGGAGAUGGGACGAGGACUGAGGAUGACAGUCCCAAGGGGUUCAGUGUUUCUUCUGGAGUGGUUUAAAUGUUGUAAAAUUGUGCUGAUGAUCACACAUACCUGUGAAUGCACUAAACCCACUAAAUUGUAUGCCCAAAAAAGGUGAAUGUGGUGUGUGAAUUGUAUCUCAAUAAAGCUAUUUAAAAAUUGUGGAGCCGGGGAAGGAGGCUGUAAGCCCCUUUACAUCAAGGUUGUUUACUUAUAGAGAUGGUCUGUGAUCUAACAUGGAAAAACAGAUGUUCUGUAGUUUGGGAAAAUGUAUAGCAGCCCUGAUCCUUGAGUGUCAGUGGUUCUCACCUCCCAGUGUUAGCAGCUCUCCUUGUUGAUCUUCCAGUAGCCAAAACCAGCAGUUACUGAUGUAUGCCAGAUUCGUGGGACCCCAGUAGACCUCCAGGAGCCUAAUUCGAUGCAAUCACACAAGAAUCUUUAUUCAAGCUCAAGCCUGGCCUCACAACUGUUUCCGGUCCCAGGGAGUGAGCCCCGAUCCUUUGUUCUUUUCCACAGAAAAGCCCUCUUCACCAAGGCUGAUUUUAGGACUGUCAGCAAAAGAGUUUCUGCAAAAGAGUUCAAUGUGGAUAAACUUCCUUUUUUCGUGUCACCUUGUUUUACUUGGCCACUGGCCAGGAAGAUACCAGCACUCCAGGUGCUGGACACCCACUUACUAGUUUUUCUCAAAUGUAUCCAGUAUAGUACUUUGUAGAAAUGUGCAAACAAGGCCUCUGGCCUUGAGCUGGGCUUCACAGAGAUGUCUACAUUUUUAAGAUAAGUUACAAAUGGGCUCCAUGGUAACAGCUGGCAGGGGGAGGAAAGAAAGGGGAGAAGAAGCUCUCCCCUUCUCAGGUGUUGUCCUUGAAGGGUUAACUUGCCCAGAACAGUGAAAGAAAAAGCUGCUUUUAUGUGAACUUCUGCAGACUGUGAACUUCUGAGCCCCUCCCCUGACAUGCUCGGUAUAAAAUUCUGCAGCCAAAUAAAACUGUUUCCUGUUA